GCUACUGUGUGUUUAUCAUAAGGCAAUUGGCCAAAUAGCUGAUGGGUCUGACAAUUCAUACAGAUCCACCCGGCAGAAGUCUUUCUGAGUCGUCAUGUGACACUCACACGGAUGCUAAGUACCGUUUUCAACCGCUUAAGAAGUGGAUGGGAUGCAUGCGGAGGCCAGCAGCUAUUAUCUGUACCCCAGAUGACCCUCUGUCCCUCAUAUCCACCACCAUUGUGGGAGCAUCUGCAUAUGACAUGGCCUCUGCUGACUCAGAUUGCCUGGGAAAUAGGGGAGAACCCACCACACUUCAAGACUGGGUGACUAUAAUCAUAUGAUACCUGCCCUGCCGAAGCACACCACCGAAGAGAGAAACCACACAAGAUAUGAUUUAGAUGGGCUUGUGAAUCACCAUUCCAAAUGGGAUUACAGCUUUUAGAAACGAGGAUCCAUUGGAAUAGCUAUAAAGGAGAAACACAGGGAGAUAAUGACAACUAACUCUGCUAUCAAUCAGCAGUCCUUGACCCCUGUUAUAUGAUUUUGCUUUGAAGACAGUCCUCUCUUUGUCACUCAUAACAGACCACCAGACCUGACAUGGGCUAUUUGGAAGCUAUUGAAAAAACAGCUCAUGUUACACCGGCUGUGCCAGGUACCCAUAUUGCAAACUGGUACAUGGUUGAUCUCCACAGAAAGCAUUACACCGGGUCCUGGUCUCUGAAAUUAAUGGCACAAUCUCUGUGAUUUCCCCUUUUUCUUUAUGCAGAACUUCUUUUAGGAACCACCUCUUGUUUUCACACCACAGGGGAAGUCCGGCUCGGCUGUCAUUCUGAUGUACUGUAUUAUCAGAGACAUUAGCUUUUCCUCCCUCUACAUUUGCUUAAGAACUUAUAAAUUGCGGUGAACAAGAAGUGCUAAAUAGAAUGAAAUGACCUGCCAAGGGGAGAUAGGGCAUUCUCAAAUGACUUCAAAAGUUUCCCCAGCUUCACAGCCCUGUAGGCUGAGUGUCUGUGGUUCCUCAAAGACAAGCUUUGCAUUCCUCCCCGUCCCCCCUUUCUUCCCAAAGGCCUUUGGAUGUCAUUGAUGUUGGAAGAUUAUUUCUUGAAAAGAAACCACAAUUGCCCCCUGCUUAAGAAGCAGAUGAGAGAUUUGAAAGUAGGAGCUAGAGUUGACCAGAGAACAAAUGGAUUUGAACUUCACUUUCAAUAUCACACAUUAUGGUGGAAUGCCACAGAAUGCCUAAGAAAGACAGCAUGGCACACACCUCUAAGCCCAGUACUUAAGAGGUUCAGGAGAUCAAGGUCAUCUUUAGCUACACAGUAAUUUCCAGGCCAGUCUGGG
rnacentral:lncRNA from 1 species